rnacentral:hammerhead_ribozyme from 1 species
AUCCAGCUGACGAGUCCAAAAUAGGACGAAACAUGCGUCCUGGAU